AGGUCAUUUUGAGAUCCAUUCUUAGUAAACCUUUAUAUCGCUCCCAUGCCUCAUCAAGUGACUCACCUGGUUGUUGCUCAAAGUUAGUUAUUUCCCUCUUGAGUUU